rnacentral:rRNA from 1 species
UACGGAGGAUCCAAGCGUUAUCCGGAUUUAUUGGGUUUAAAGGGUGCGUAGGCGGCCUAUUAAGUCAGGGGUGAAAGACGGUAGCUCAACUAUCGCAGUGCCCUUGAUACUGAUGGGCUUGAAUACACUAGAGGUAGGCGGAAUGUGACGAGUAGCGGUGAAAUGCAUAGAUAUGUCACAGAACACCGAUUGCGAAGGCAGCUUACUAUGGUGUCAUUGACGCUGAGGCACGAAAGCGUGGGGAUCAAACAGG